GUGUUCGUUAUUUAGGGCGCAUGGUGGAUGCCUUGGCAUGCUGGGCCGAUGAAGGACGUGUAAGGCUGCGUUAAGCCUCGGGGAGUUGUCAAUAGAGCGUUGAUCCGAGGAUGUCCGAAUGGGGAAACCUGGCACCUGUUAUGGGGUGUUACCCUUCAGUGAAUUCAUAGCUGUUGUGGGGGUUUACGCGGGGAAGUGAAACAUCUCAGUACCCGUAGGAGAAGAAAAUAAAAUAUGAUUCUGCUAGUAGUGGCGAACGAACGUGGAUGAGGCUAAACCGUGUGCAUGUGAUACUUGGUAGGGGUUGUGUGUGCGGUGUUGUGGGCCCCAACGUGCGGUGACUACCAUCAUCGUGCUUGUGUGUUGUUGUUAGGUGAAGUGGUGUGGAAACGCCCACCGUAGAGGGUGAUAGUCCCGUAGUUGAAGGCUUCAAUGCAUGGGUUGUUGGGUUGCCCGAGUAGCAGCGGGCUCGUGGAAUCUGCUGUGAAUCUGCCGGGACCACCCGGUAAGCCUAAAUACUCAGUGUGACCGAUAGUGUAUGAGUACCGUGAGGGAAUGGUGAAAAGUACCCCGGGAGGGGAGUGAAAUAGUUCCUGAAACCAUGUGCUUACAAUCCGUCAGAGCACCUGUAUGUGUGUGAUGGCGUGCCUUUUGAAGAAUGAGCCUGCGAGUCAGCGGCAUGUCGCGAGGUUAACCCGUGUGGGGUAGCCGUAGGGAAACCGAAUCCUCAUGGGGUGUUUAGUGGCAUGUCCUGGACCCGAAGCGGGGUGAUCUACCCAUGGCCAGUGUGAAGCAGUAGUAAGAUGCUGUGGAGGCGCGAACCCACGUAGGUUGAAAACUGCGGGGAUGAGCUGUGGGUAGGGGUGAAAGGCCAAUCAAACUCCGUGAUAGCUGGUUCUCCCCGAAAUGCAUUUAGGUGCAGCGUCGCAUUAGCUUGGUGGAGGUAGAGCUACUGGUUGGUUGAGCGGGACUACAAUCUUAGCAAUGUCAGCCAAACUCCGAAUGCCACUAAUUGUGUUGUGCGGCAGUGAGACUGUGGGGGAUAAGCUUCAUAGUCGAGAGGGAAACAGCCCAGAUCGCCGGUUAAGGCCCCUAAGGGUGUGCUAAGUGGAAAAGGAUGUGGGAUCGCGAAGACAGCCAGGAGGUUGGCUUAGAAGCAGCCAUCCUUGAAAGAGUGCGUAAUAGCUCACUGGUCGAGUGGUCCUGCGCCGACAAUGUAGUGGGGCUCAAGCACACCGCCGAAGCCGCGGCAANNNNNNNNNNNNNNNNNNNNNNNNNNNNNNNNNNNNNNNNNNNNNNNNNNNNNNNNNNNNNNNNNNNNNNNNNNNNNNNNNNNNNNNNNNNNNNNNNNNNUUGUUGAUGUCGUGGGGCCUGAUGUGUGGUUCAAGUGAUGGGGUGACACAGUGUAGUAGCCAUGCCGCUUAGUGGAUUGUUGGUGUAAGCGUGUGAGGUGGUGUGUAGGCAAAUCCGCACACCGUUUAACCUGAGGCGUGAUGCGUAGCCCAAAUGUGGGUGAAGUUGGUGAUCUAGUACUGUCGAGAAAAGCCUCUAGCGAUGUGGAUGUAUGGCCCGUACCCUAAACCGACACAGGUGGUCAGGUUGAAAAUACUAAGGCGUUCGGGUGAACUGUGGUUAAGGAACUCGGCAAAAUGCCCCCGUAACUUCGGGAGAAGGGGGACCACACGACUUUGACACUUCUUGCAAGUGUUGUGGGUUGUGGGGUCGCAGAGAAUAGAGGGAAGCGACUGUUUAUCAAAAACACAGGUCCAUGCGAAGACGUUAAGUUGAUGUAUAUGGACUGACGCCUGCCCGGUGCUGGAAGGUUAAGAGGACCGGUUAGUCACCUUUGGUGGCGAAGCUGAGAAUUUAAGCCCCAGUAAACGGCGGUGGUAACUAUAACCAUCCUAAGGUAGCGAAAUUCCUUGUCGGGUAAGUUCCGACCUGCACGAAUGGCGUAACGACUUCUCUGCUGUCUCAACCACAGGCCCGGUGAAAUUGCACUACGAGUAAAGAUGCUCGUUACGCGCGGCAGGACGAAAAGACCCCGGGACCUUCACUAUAGCUUGGUAUUGGUGUUCGGUUCGGUUUGUGUAGGAUAGGUGGGAGACUAUGAGACGUGUGCGCCAGCACGCGUGGAGUCGUUGUUGAAAUACCACUCUGAUCGGAUUGGAUACCUUAACCUUGGCCCAUGAUCUGGGUUGGGGACAGUGCCUGGUGGGUAGUUUAACUGGGGCGGUUGCCUCCCAAAAUGUAACGGAGGCGCCCAAAGGUUCCCUCAGCCUGGUUGGCAAUCAGGUAGCGAGUGUAAGUGCACAAGGGAGCUUGACUGUGAGACAGACAUGUCGAACAGGGACGAAAGUCGGGACUAGUGAUCCGGCACCUACUUGUGGAUGUGGUGUCGCUCAACGGAUAAAAGGUACCCCGGGGAUAACAGGCUGAUCUUCCCCAAGAGUCCAUAUCGACGGGAUGGUUUGGCACCUCGAUGUCGGCUCGUCGCAUCCUGGGGCUGGAGUAGGUCCCAAGGGUUGGGCUGUUCGCCCAUUAAAGCGGCACGCGAGCUGGGUUCAGAACGUCGUGAGACAGUUCGGUCUCUAUCCGCCGCGCGCGUUGAAACUUGAAGAAGGCUGUCCCUAGUACGAGAGGACCGGGACGGACGUACCUCUAGUGUGCCAGUUGUUCCGCCAGGAGCAUCGCUGGUUGGCUACGUACGGAAGGGAUAACCGCUGAAAGCAUCUAAGCGGGAAGCCUGUUUUAAGAUGAGGUUUCAUUUGAGGUCCCCCAAAGACGAUGGGGUUGAUAGGCCAGACCUGGACGCACCGCAAGGUGUGAAGGCUACUGGUACUAAUAGACCAAAACAAACACAC
rnacentral:rRNA from 1 species